rnacentral:lncRNA from 1 species
UUCAGUUUGAAGUGAUUGGAAUUCUUGAGGGUGAAUUUUGUUGGCUUCAUUGAGAUGUUCAACCAUUUCCAUCAAUUUAGCAAUCUGUCCUUUCAUCUCUCAAAGAUCAUGUCCAAACUUUUCUUGAUUGAGCUGUAGUAUACUUAUCCUUACUUCCAAUUGAUGUUCCAUAUCCUUUAACCCCUUUAAAUCAAAUCAAAUAAAUUAGAAAAGAAAUUUUGAAAUUUCACUAAAAAUUUUCUAGAUGUUUUCCAUAAAAGUGGAUUUGUUCUGUUUUCUUGAAACCUAAUAAUAUUGUGUGGUUCUUUAUUAUGGAAUAAAUAUGGCGAGAAACUAAAAUCUUUUUCUUUUUUUGAAAUGAAUGCAAGGAACAAAAGAUCCCUUUCAUUUCUUUUUUCAUUUCUAUCUAAAUGGAAAACCCUUAUCUCCUUUUUAUUUCUUUUUUUUUUAUGAGAGAGAAAAAAAGAUAAGGAAAAAAAUGAAAGGAAAAAAAUCAUUUUUAAUUAUUUUUUUAUUUUUCAUAAUAGUUUUUUUAAAAGGACAAAAUAAAUAAAAGAAAAGACUUUAUCUGUUCUCUUUUCAUUACUUUUUUCCUUUUAAAAAGACAUCAUUUGAAGAAAAGAACUCUCUUUUUGUUAUUUAUCUUUCUUGUUUUUUUUUGAACUAACAAGGAUGGCAUUUAAAGAGAAAUACUCAAAAUUAUUGUUGAUAUUGACAUAUUGAUUCACUUUACGAUUCCUCAUUUUUUUCAUUAUUUCCAUAAUGUUAUGCAAGAAAUCAAAAUAAAAACAUUGAGAAAUAUUCCUUCAUGUGUUCCUAUUUAAAGGUACCUCCUUUACAGUUUGUUGGAAUGACUCUACCUAAAGGAAGGCUACUCACAGUUUUCUACAUGCUGAGUUUUGGUUUCGUUCGGAGCUAAGAGAUUUUCAAAUUGUUCCUCAUUGUCAUCCACUCAGACUAGUAAGGCACCUUGGUGCUCACCCAUUAUAAGCUUUAAGCGGACAAGGAUCAAUUUGAGUGGGAGUGUUUCACUAGCCCAUGCGGAAGUUAUCACUAUACGAGAGCAUAUGUCACGACCCGGAACCUCCCUCAGGCCCAUGACAAUCGCCACGACGUCCCCGAUUGACACUCAUUAUCCGGAAUGCCAACCGGAACCCCGCAAGGCUUACAUAUCAGUUUCUUUCCUCUCCUGUGAACAAUCAUUGUUAAAUAUCGAGUUUUUAGAGAAUAUAUACUAUUUUAGAUAAAAAACAAUCAAAAUAAAAUUUUCGCCACACAGGGGUAUUUUGGUCAUUUUUUUCUUAAAAAUUUCAAAAUUGGCUAAAACGUAAUAUACAAGUACAAAAUACAUAAUUCAUAUUCAAAAUGAGUUUAAAAGUCUAAAAUCUUCAUUUAAAACGAAAUUACGGUUAUUUGAAUAUAAUAAGAAAAUAAAAGAAAUAUUAAGGAAAAUAUUCUAUUUUCUUAUAAAACAAUAUUUAUAGAGUUAUACGUGAAUAAUUUUUAUAGCGUAAAAGCUAAAUAAAUUUAUACAUACUGAAAUACAGUAAGCCAAAAUAUUUAAUUUAAUUUACAAUAACAAGAGGGCCCCCGAAUAAACAAAAGUAAAGAGGACUGUGAACCUACGGUUUGGAAAAUGCAGAUCCAAUGGUAGUCCUCGAUGAGAUCAGCUAUCUACAGUCUAUACUGAACCUGAAAUGGGUGGAAAGGAGUUGGGUGAGAUUUUGCAAUCCCAAUGAGUAAACAGACAUUAUCAUAAAUAUCUAAAGGCGAGUAAAAUGGAGGCAAGUUUAAACAACAAAUUUCAACCCAUUUCAUAAUGUUUUCAAUUUAUUUCUUAAACCAUAAAAUAUUUGUAAUUUACCAAAACAGUUGUUAAGGCUUAUGUCUUUUAUUAAAACAAGGCUCAAGCCAAAACUAAUCCUCGGGGAUACCUUGGCCGAGGCAUCUAACCGAGUCCGCCAAGGGUGUUAAAAUAUUCACACGUGAAACACAUUUUUAUUUUUAAAACCAGCCGUUCCUUGGCGUUGGCCGAGUUACACAUUCACGUGGGGGUUCGACGUGAAGUGAGCUCUAAUACUACCCCGGGAGUUACCCUCCUCGCCUCUACAACCGGAGUAACUAUAUAACUGGGUUUACCGUGCCCCUCUAAUAGGCAGUCCACGAAAACCCGUCACUGCAGUGACUAACCCACCAAUUUUAAUAAAAUUUCGACAGUAUAACGUGGCUUUUAUUUAUUUAUCCAGCCUGCAUAGUAAAACAACUUACAUAAAUUUCCCAAUGCAUUCACAAAAUAUAGCCACAUAUACUCAUUUCUCAUAAGCCAUUCCUAGGAAAAUAUAUAUUUUUCAAGUCAAUUUGUAGCCUCCAAUUACUCAAUUUCAUAAUCAAUACAAUAUAUUUUUAUUUGUCACAUUUAUUCCUAAAACAUCAAAAAUCCCGUUUUAAUCUCGUUCUCAUUUCAUAAAAUACAUAAAGGGCAUUUAAAAUAAACUCUAGAUAAUUUACAAUAAUAAUAAGUUUACUCACCGUUUGUACAAACUAAAAGCUUUCUAAGCGCCCCGAUCACUACUCGUCGGGUACGACUUCUUUGCCUUUUCCGGAAGGCUCUCCUCCUAGACACAUUACAAAAAUUUACACAAUUCAUCACAUUGAUGCUAAAUCACUAUAUAAUUAACUUAAAUCCUAUACUAAUGCAUGGUAUGAAAUGCAAUAGCCUAAAACGGCUUAAACGCGGUAUUAACCUAUUUUUGGCACUUUGCCCGAUAAAUUGCUAACGCGCUCCAUUUUAGCUCUAAAUCAUCCCAUUCUCUCUCCAACAUUUCUAACCAUUAAAUAUCAGCCAAUAACCUUCUAAAAACAACAAAAUCAGCUCACUCCCUUCCUUGGAAAAUUCGGCCAAAAAUGGGACAUUAACUCGGUUAAUUUUCUACUUUGUUUUUCUAUCACGUUUAAUCGUUUUUCAUCAUUUUCUCUUCAUUUCCCUUAGAAUAAAAUCAAUUCAUCAUCAUUGUACAGCAUUGAGCAUCCAGCCAAGAGUGGGUAUUGUGAAAAUUUAAUGAUUUCUUGCCCAAUUUAAUUUCUAAACACAUUUAACUAACUAAAACUAUCAAUUUAACUAAAAAUCAAAACCUAAAAAUUUCAAUUUCUCUCCCCUAGAAUUUCGUCCAGCCCUUGAUAUCACUUUUUGAUCUCUCUCCUCAAGCAUGCUAAAUGGAAAUAAAGGCAUAGGAAAGGUAGAAAUCAAGCUAAAAUCGAAAAAUCUUACCGUUAGACGCGUAAACGGUCGAAAACCGCGAAUUUCCCUUUGAAUUUUCUUGUUUCUCUUUGGUUUUUCUUUUUUUCUUCCUUUCCUCUCUAUUUCCUCUCUUGUUCUUCCUUAUGGCCGGCCAGCACUUAAAAUUUGGGUUUAAAUGGGCUGACUUUUCAUUAAAAUAAUAUUAUAUCAUUAAAAAAUGCCACAUGUCACUUUCCCAUUGGCCCAUUUUUAAAAUUUCAUCCAUUUGUUUCCAAAUUUUCACCAUACACUUGUCUCAUAUAUUCAUAGCUUAGAUAAAAUUCUCAGACUCAUCCAAAGUCUCGGUGGAGUAAUUUUUGAAAUUUACACUUUUGCCCCCGUAAAAGUCAAAAAUUACAUUUUUGCCCCAAAAAUUGAAAAAUUGCCCAUAGACAUAUUUUUCAUCCCUUAUACUCAUACCAUUCUCCAAUUUAUCAAAUUUGAUCUAAAUUCUCUCAAAAUCUCAAGUUUUGUUCGUGGGUGGUAAAAUUACGAUUUUGCCCCAUACACUCCAAAAAUCACCAGAAUUAAACUUUUUCACUUCCUAUCAUUAAAUUAUACUCCAAAUAGUUAAUCUUGGUCAAAAAUUUCACUCCAUGAUCAAAUUAUUAUCUUAUGUGGCAAAAUGACGAUUUUGCCCUUGAAUAUCAAAAUUUCUAAUUUUACGCCAAAUGAACCAUCGAACUCCGAACAAUCAUUUUUAGUCAUUCCUGGACUAUAAAAUAUUAAAUUUCAUCCUACAAUUCCUAUUUAAACUAGUUCAAGAUUAAAUCAAUUUAAAUGUACCGUUAGGUACAAUAUCGGGUUUCGUCUAUUCUUAGGUGCUUUUCUAGCGUAAUAACAUGCUACUCAAUGCAUGUAUGUCAUGACAUGUAUUUAUAGGGUCGGGUUUUACAGCAUACCUAUUUAACUCCCUCCUAAUCAAGGACAAAGCUCGGGUAGAAGGCUCAUGCAUGAAUGCAAAUCGUGUUGUGUGUGUGUGUGCGAAGAAACAGAUUGACCUUUAACCAUUAUUCUCAUAUCACUUUAUCUUAUAAUCCCUGUAAUUAUUAAAAGUAAUAAAAUAACAAUAAUGAAAAAAUAAAUGCAUUAAACAAAAAUAUGUAAAAUAAAUACGUGAUACUAAAGGAAACACUAAAUUAUUUAAAACUUAGAAUAACAUAUGAUUAAUUAAUGGCUCGACUCUCUAAAGUUUGCUAGUGGAGUUGUCGUAUGUCGUAACAUGCAGGUUUGGGAACCCGUCUGCUAGACGUGGGUGGUAUUAAGGAGUAGCCACCAAUCUUUUUUAUCUAGGUACGAUUGGUCACCUAUUAAAUUUGUUCUAUUCAAUGGAGUUUUAAAUUGAUUUUAGAUCCAUCAAAAGAACGAUAAACUGGUCUGUGAAUUUUAGAGUUGGGUUUGGGAGUAUGGUUACACACGAGGAAGGAUUAGCACCCCCGUGACGCCCGUUCCACGAAUUGUACUAUUUAAUCAUAUGUUAUCCUAAACUAUUGAUUUUAUUCUUAUGUUUCCCUAAUUGUUAUUUAUUUUAUCUUUUAUUUUAUUAACAAAUCAAAAUAUUUUAUUUGGUUUUACGAGUGAGGUGUACAUAUGAUGAAAUCAUGAAAUGCAUGGCAAAGAAAAAUCGAAUAAUGCCAAAUGAAAACCUAUUAUUGAGGAUAUUUUUCGAAUCCGUCUACCAUAUUGGUAGGGUCAAGAGAUAUUCUCUCACCUAGAAAAUUACCAAAAAAACUCACAUUCGCAAGUUUAACAAGUAAAUUCCAUUAUCGGGAUAAUCAUUCGUAUUUAAAAAUAUUUUUCACAAAUGCAAAUCUUAGUAUGAGCAAAAGCAUCUUAUUAAGGAUAUUCUCUGAGCCCUCCCAUCGUACUGGUGGGACUCGGAGGUAUCCUUUCACCUAGGGAUUUUUUUUUUAAAGAACUCGCCUUUGCAAGCUCCCUCGAAAAGUCCCAUUAUCAGUGUUUGGACUCGUAUACAUAAUAUGUCUACAUGCCAUGACAUUUAAAUGAUGCAAUAAUGGUGCGAGAGGCAUUAUAAAUUUCGAUGUCCAUUAAUUACUCUCUAUAUUCAUUAUUUUUAUGAGUUUGCCAUCUUUGGAAAUUUUAUUUUUUACUAUUUGUUUAUCAUCAUGAAUAUCAUUAUUUAAUAUAAUCCUAUAUUUUUAAAACUACAUAUAUUUUAUCUAUUCCCUUUUGUAUUUAUUAUUAUUAUUAUUACUUCUUUUUUUCUUUUUGUUUCUAUAUUUUUGUUUGAUUAAUAACGAGGUUAAUAUAUUUUCCAUUUAUUUAGGAUUAGCAACAUUGGGACUCAAAAUUAAAACCCUCCCAUUGUACUGGUGUAGUAUUAAUUGAAAUCCCUAACUUAGAAAAAUUCAUUCGGGAUUGCGACUUCUCGCAUUCUAAGUGAAUAUUCCAUCAUCGAUAUUAAGUCAAAUAAUUAUCCUAUUUAUAUUAGUAAUUUUUUUAUCUAAUCUUAUUUUCAUCCUUUCUCCCUAUUUUACAUAAAGCUAUCUACUUCAACCAAUUUGAUACUUUCAUAUUUUGUUUCAUUACAUUUUAAUUUUAAUUUUUCCUAGUUCAUUUUCAUUCCCAUUUUAUAUCUAUAUAAGCUUACAUAACUAAGUAUUUUAUGAUUAUGUCUAACAAUUCACCUUUUCCCACAUUUUAUAUUUCUUCCUAGACAUAUUCUAUGUCACGACCCGGAACUCCUAUCGAGCCCGUGACAACCGCCGCGACGUCCUGAUAGACAUUCAUUACUCGAAAUGUCAAUCGAAACCUCGCAAGGCUUAACAUCAGUUUUUCUCACUUCUCCUACGAGUAUUAGUCACUAAAAUUAUGUUUUGAGAGAUUAUAAACUAUUUCCAAAUCAAAACAAUAGAAAAAUAAUUUUUUUCUCACAGAGGCAUUUUGGUCAUUUUUCCUCAUUAAUCUCAAAAUCCGUUAAAAAUGUAGUAUGCGAGUACAAAACGUAUAAUUCGUAAUAAAAAAUAAGUUUAAACAUCUAAAACCUUCAUUUAAAAUGAAAUUAUGAUUAUUUGAAUAUAAACUAAAAAAUAAAAGAAAUGUUCAAUAAAAUAUUCAAUAAAAUAUUCUAUUUUCUUAUAAAACAAUAUUUUUAGAGUUAUACGUAAAUAAAUUUUUUGUAGUAGCAUAAAAGCAAAAUAAAUUCAUACAUACUGUAAUACAGUAAGCCUGAGUAUUUAAUUUAAUUUAUAAUAACUAGUGGGCCCUCGAAUAACUAAAAGUAAGAAAAACUGUGAACCUAUAGUUUGGAGGAUGCAAAUCCAAUGGUAGCCUCGAUGAAAUCAGCUAUCUACAGCCUAUUCUGAGCCUGAAAUGGGUGGAAAGGAAGGUGGUGAGAUUAUAUAAUCCCAGUGAGUAAACAAAUACCAUCUAAAAUAUCUAAAGCCGAGUAAAUGGAGACAGAUAAAAUAGUUUAACAUAUUGUAAUUCAUCACCUUUCAACUUGUUUCAACCAAAUAAAAUCAAUUCAUAUAAAUCGAGUAAUUAACAUGGCUUAUGAAUUUCUUAAAAGUUUGGCUCGUGCCAAAAUCAUUCUCAUACCCAAUUAUCAAGGAUACCUUGAUCGAGGGCUAUCCCAACCGAGUCCGCCAAGGCUGUUAAAAAGUUAUGUACGUAUAAAUUAUGUUUUUAUUUUGAAAAUAUAGCCGUUCCUUGGCGUUGGCUGAGUUCACCCUCACGUGGUGGUUUGGCGUGAAGUGAACUCUAAAGUUAUACCUCGGGAGAUACCCUACUCGCCUCUCCAACAGAGGUAAAAUAUAACAGGAUUCUGUGCCUCUCUAAUAGGCUGGUCUAUAGAAAAUCCGCCUACUGCAGCAAGUUAAACCCACCAUACAAUAAAAUUUACAAUAGCAUGACAUGACAAUUAUUUUAUUUUAUUUUAUAGCUUUUCAAGGCAAAUAAACAAUUUAUACAUUUCCAACACAUUUAUCAAAUCAACCAUUCAUGCCAAUAUUGCCAUAAGCCAAUCAAUUGGAAUCAUGAAUUUACAACACACAAAAACAGUCUCCAAUUACUCUAUUUUCAAACCAUCAUUCAAUUUCAAGACAAUUUUUAAAAUCAUUUUAUUUAAACACAUUUUGUUUAUAAAAUCAAAAAAUUAAUCAUUUAAUUCAUUUUCCAUAAAAUUCACAAAAUCAAAUAAAACAUACUUUAGAUAAUUAAGAUGAUGAUAAGGUUACUCACUAUUUUGGGAGUCAAAUUCCAAGUACUCCAAUUCUUGAUCCUCGGGUACUAUCUCUUUACUUUUACCAGAAUACUCACCAUCUAGACAUAAUGCACAAUAAGCCAUUUACUACAUUGUGCUAAAUUGUUAUAAAACCAAUUCAGGCUUGAUACUAAUGUAUGAAAUGGGAUGCAAAUUGUUCGAUUAUUGUCUAAACACGGUAUUCUACACAAAUUCAAUUGUGUACCUAAAUUAAACGGUAUUGGUCUAAUUCGAUCUAUCACUCGAUUAAUUGGCCAAUACGUCCAAUUCAACUCCAAAUAAUUUCAUUUUUCUCCCAAUACUCCAAAUCAUCAAACACAAAUUAAAUAACUUAAAAUAGGGCAAAAUCAUCCUCACAUUUUCUCUUGAAAAAUUCGACCAUGGUGGGUGCAUCAAUAUUAUGAUUUUUCCUACUUGAUUUUCACACCAUAAAUCACUAAUUCCUAACCAAAUCACUUGAAAUAAAAUCAAAAUCAUCAUCAAUAUUCCACAUGGAGAAUUCGGCCAAUGAUGGGUGAUGGGAGAAAAUGAAUUUUUCUUGUUGGCUUUUCAUGCUACACAACACUAACUAACUAAAAACACUAAAAUAUCUUAAAAUCUAACCAAAUCAAGCAUCAAAACCUCUCUCUAAGUGUUCAGCCAGCAAGAUACCCAUCAUGAAAUCAUGUGAUUCAACCAUGGAAAAUGCAAAAGAAUGCAUGAGAAAGGUAGAUCACACGUCAAAAUCAAGAAAUUUUACCUUUGAUUGUUUGAUUACUUGAAAUCCACUAAUUUUCUCUUGAAUUUUCACCCUAGGGUUCUUGUUCUUUCUUUUCUUCCUUUGUUCUUCCUUUGGCCGGCCAUAUGAAGAGAAAUAGGCUGAUU